rnacentral:lncRNA from 9 species
CAUAAGAACUAUGAGUUAUUCUUCUUCAGUAACUUAGAGUCAGGUAAAUGCUGAGGGAUGUAAUGGAAAAUAAUUUCUAUUUUACAGAUCUAAUCUCAUUGUGAAUUCAUGCAAGAAGUCCCAUACCACUGAGAUUUGAAAUGGUCAGAGAAGCCUUUGUCAAGAUUUGUGCUCAAAGAAGUCUUUGAAGACUGGGCAAGACACAGAUUGGAGGAAAGCGAGAAGAACUUUUCAGGGAUCACUGUUGCUGGCUGCCCUCAAAACACAUUAUAACCAUAUAUCUAUCCAGAGUAAGGAAACAAUGAAAAGUGACCUCAGAGAAGGCUGAAUCCAUAUUAAACACUGGAGACUCAACACCAUUGGUUCUACUGGCUUUGGGAAGAACCAAGUCACCACAGAUAAAGACAAGAGAGAUG